UUGACAGAACUGUAACCUGCAGUACUUCAAUCAGCCGAAACGAGCACAGCACAGACAGCAGCAGCGCAAGCUUCCCCACGUUAGUCCAUCAUGUCUCUACCCUAUUUUGAAGGAAUCGUCACUAUGGGAAAAGAGAUAGUUUGGUCUUCAUGCCCAUUUAAUCCUUCACCUCC
ensembl:misc_RNA